UACGUAGGGGGCUAGCGUUGUCCGGAAUCAUUGGGCGUAAAGAGCGUGUAGGCGGUCCGGUAAGUCCGCUGUGAAAGCCGGGGGCUCAACCCUCGAAUGCCGGUGGAUACUGUCGGGCUAGAGUGCGGAAGAGGCGAGUGGAAUUCCUGGUGUAGCGGUGAAAUGCGCAGAUAUCAGGAGGAACACCUAUUGCGAAGGCAGCUCGCUGGGACGGUACUGACGCUGAGGCGCGAAAGCGUGGGGAGCAAACAGG
rnacentral:rRNA from 1 species